CAGAGUUACCGAGGGCCUGCUGGCCCCGCAGCAGCCCUGCGUUCAGGAUUCACCACGCAAAGGGCUACUGGGCUCCCCCUGAGGCCCAGAUAAGGCCUUCAUCCCUCGCUGACGAGGGGCAGAAAAGAUGAAGACCUUGUUGUGGUACAUUUCAGCCUCCCUCCCCCUUUGGCUGCUUCCGGACCGCUCUUGGCCUCCUGAUUAGCCCAGAAGUCUCUCCGCUAUCUGUAAGGUCCUGGCUGGUGGUGAUGGCGUUGAUGGUGGGGAUGAAGGCGCUGCCUGAGCCAGGCAUAUCUACCCGGAACUUCUGAAAUGAGGAAAGAACAGUAUUGAGCCAACAGGUGCAUAAUGGAACAGGACAAGCGGAGCCAGGAGGCAAAGCAGAGUUCAGGAUGGGGCUGUGACCCCAUCAGGGUGAGACCAGGUCCAGGAAAAGGUGUCCUCCAACCAAUGAGACUGAAAAGUGGUAGCAUCUGUGGCCAGACCUUCCUUCUCCUCGCCCUUAACUGCCAUCUUGCUUGGGGCAGACACACUGCGUCUCUCCCUACCUACCUACAUAUCUAUCUGUGUUCAUGUUUGUGUCUGUGGGAAACUCUCGUGCUGCUAGCUCAGCGUUUUCUCCCUGUCUCUUAAUUCAUGCCCAGACCAAGUUGCAGAACUCUCUGGAACGUGCUGCAGGAAGCAUCCUAUUUAGAAUAUAAGAUGAUGACAGAGUACAAACACUAAAAUGGGUCAAGCUCCUCUUUCUUCAGAGCGACUACUAGAAAGUGAGGGGAGAAAGGAAGGGCCUCCCUGCCCCCGCAGCCCACGGCUUCCAGCUCCUCAGGGGAAAUCUCCCCUAAUGAAGCCGUCAUGUCAUCCUCGGGUGACCCCCAUCUCCACACAAAGGAGUUCUGCAGCUCCUUCCUUCCCUAAUCUGGUGGGUGACGAGAUGAAAGCAAUAAGAGCACCUGCUGAGCACUUACUAAACGACAGGCACCAUGGUAGUGUUUGACCUAAAUUAUCUCCUUCAUUCUCCCUCUGAGGUAAGAACGACCAUUAUCUCCACUUUAGAGGCAGAAAUUUAGGCUUAGAGAGAUUGAGUAACUUAUCCAAGGCCACAUGGCUCGUACGCAGGGGGGGUCAGGAUUCAAAGAGGCUCUCAAACACGGUGCUACGCAAGCUUCCGUAGUGUUGCUUUUUUCUUCCUUGAAAUCCAGACCCAAGUGCCGUAGCCACCCCUGCUGCCCUCAGGGUGUCAGCUCAUCCCUGUCGACCGCCCCUCUCACCCAGGAGGCCCCACAGGUCCGAUCCCAGAUGAAAUCGUGCUAUCGCUGGCACGGGCGCUAUAGCUUCCCUUCCUAUCUUGGCCUGGUCAGACCAACCAGGAGUACAAGUAUUAGCAGCAAUGGCAGCUGCCACCACCGUUGCCUUUGUCCCCGGUGAUGACACCUGGGUUCCUGUCAUGCAAGUAAGUGGAGCUUAGAGCACCUCACUGUAACUGGGGGAGCUGGGGACCCCUCCUUGCUCACUCCCCUGCCAGCUGCCUGACCCCAGUCUGGGUGGUGGCAUGUCUCUGCCUCCCUUCCCAGACUGCCCUGGGGCCCUGGGGCAAGGGCGUUUUGUGAAGAAAGCAUGACCCAGCACGAUGGAUUCUGGGAUUGGGCGAGGAGAGCCCCAGUGGGAUGAAUCCUGAGACUCGGUGAAGUUACCAGUGGAUUCUGGGAUACUAUGAGAAGAGCUGUCCAGUACAAUGGAUUUUGAGUCACCUUGGAAGGCAAAGACGAUUCGGCUUUUUAUCAGGAGCUGCCUGAGCUGGGUGUGCGUGUGUGUGUGCGUGUGUGUGUGCGUGCGUGUGUGUGUGUGUGUGUGUGUGAAGGAAGGAAGGAUGCAGUGAACAAGGAAGACUCCAAGUAGGAAAUGAUCUUCAAGGAGAAGAAAAUGGACAACUCAGCUGGGCCUCUGAGGAGGCAGAGGAUUGAGAACGCGUGCACGUGGCUGACCGUGCGCAGAGGCACGCAAGGCCCAGACAGCUACGCUUCUCUUGGGCUGCUGGAGGGGAGCUGGGGGGGAGAGAGGAAGGUGGUGGCAGGAAACCCUCCACCUGGAGCCAGGAGGCCCCGGCGGACACCUUCGCGAAAUCACCGGGGACUUAGUUCUCCUGUCUGUGAAGAAGAAUCUGAACACCAAACUCGCAAAUCACUGUCACGAUUAAACAAGUAGCUCCUUAGAAUCGCUGGCUAUAAAAGGCACUCCGGUGGCUCUCCACCGAGGCUGCGCGUUAGAACAUUCUGAGGAGCUUUCUAAAAACACCAAUGCCAGAGCCAGCCUCGCCAUUAGGGUUCUAAAAUAACACGUCCGGGAUGGGGUUCUGAUAAGGUGUUUUUUUUAAAUGCCUGGGGAGAUUCUAACGUGCAGCCAGGGUGGAGAACCGCCGCUCUGAACCAAUGGAAGGCGGCAUCGUCAUCACCAGCAGCACCGCCGCCGCGGUCACGCAUCACCACGGUGCCCGUGCACUCUGCUUGGGGCGGCUCCGGGAAAGACGGCCAGCUUCCCACUCCUGGGAGGUACCCGGCAUUUUUAUUCCAUGUCUCUCUUCAGGUCAGGUUCUGGGUCUGAAGGGCACCUGAGGCAUCCAGCACGAUGGUUCGAUGGGACCCUCCACCUCUGUGAGGGAACUGUCAGCUUCUCCCUCCGGACGGCAUCCAAGAAAUCCACUCCUCAUUCCAACAGCCAAACAAACAAAAAGCUCCCCUCUCAGCCAUGGGAAGCAAGCAAAAACCCUAAAGCACAGCUCAGAGACUAAGACUCCUUGGGGGCAAGUGGACGACUCUCAGCCCCUCUGGGGGCUCUCGGUCCCCUCGCUCUGGUUCUACAGAAUGUGCUCCCCGGCCAACAGCCAGAUUGCUUGCAGCAAUGGCUUGGUCUAGACAAAACAAGACAGCCAUAAAAACAAGGCACUAGGUAAUGACUGCCUCGAAAUGCAUGUACAACUUGUUUCAGAGGGAGGUAAAGCCAUCUGGAUAACACACUGGCCCUAGGAAAACAAUGUCCCAUCCCCACAGGGGACUGGGGCUGUGAUAAAGAAGGCUUUUGUCUCCUAGAGGAGCCUCUCUGAGACACUCACACAAGUUUAAAUGGGUUCUGGCCGAUGUGACUUGUCUCAGCUCCAAAGGUAUUACUCAGAAAGCUACACCGGAAUAGGAGAGAUGAGGUGAGGCUAGGGGGUCCGUGGUCCCAGAAGUCAGCCUGACAGUCUUCUCUGCCAGCAGACCCGACCAUCAGUCAAACAUCAUGUUGGGGAUAAGUCAUGGUGCUCUAUGGAAGGGUUAAUACUGAGCAGAAACCAACACGGGGUUUCCCAGCUGUGAGCACUGGAACACCACGAGCCUUGCUGCAGCACCAAGCGUGUGCUGGGAGGGGUGGGGGAUACAGCAGGGAACCCAGGACGUCACUUGAGUCCCCGGGGGGGCUCUCCAGCCCCCUUGGGAGCUCCUCCUCCAGGGAUGGGAUCAAAGAUGCUGGACGGCUGUGUGGCAUUCCGGCCUGGCAAAGCCUCCAGAUGCUUUAUUUGACUGUGUCAUCCUGUUGACUUCUGGGUGGGCAAGAAUGCCUAUAAAAGGACAAACUGGCCCCCACCGACCUCCUAGAGCAGAGUCUGACGAACAUUUGCUGUAAAAGGCCAGAUAGUAAAUAUUUUAGGCUUUGUGGGUCAUGCGGUCUCUGUCGCAACUACUCAACUCUGCCAUUAUAGCGUGGAAGCAGUCACAGACGAUAUGUAAACAAAUAGGUGCGCCCAUGUUCCAUUAAACCUUAUUUACAAAGACACGUGGGUCAUAGUUUGGCGCCCCCUGUUCUAGAGGCCCAUUCCCUCUCCAAAUGCUCAGC